GCACUCGUCCGCAUCCCCCUCGUCGCCUUCCCGCCGCUCCCCGUGACCCAUGGCCGCAUGUGCGUAUCGCCGGCGCUCAGCCGCGCCGCGUGUCGCCUCACCCCUCCCUCUAGAGCUCUCCCUGCGGCUAUUUAAGCACGCCUGGAGGUUCAUUGCGGUCCUCAACCCCUCCCAAGCCUCUCCCCUGAGCUUCCGAGCCUCUUCUCGCCCGCCAUUGCCGUCAUGGACGCCUCCUUGGUCCUGCUAAAUUGAAGCGACCAGAGCCACCCCUCCACUCCCUGACCGCACCCACAUCUUUCCCAUGCUACGGUGAUCCUCCCCAGCCCCUCACCUCGUCACCGGAGUACCUAAAGCCGCCGCCCCCAAGAUCCAGUGCCGCCGCGGUCGCUCUCCUUUCCGGUGGCGAUCUCCUCCCCGCGCCUCCCCAGAAGCCGCCCUUCCUCUGAAUGGAUGCGGCGGGCCACUCCUAGCUCGCCGGUGGCCGCGCCACGGCCGGAGACGACCGGAGUCGGCCGGCCCCCUCGCCUGAAGCUCGCCUCUGCCUCGCCUGGUCCUCCUCUGUUCCACGCGAAGAACAGAGGGAGGAAGAAGACGAGCGCCUUACCCGCUUCCCCUGCGCCUGGGCCCCACGCGCUAGUGGCCCAGCGCCCUGCUGACGUGGAUAAGUGGACACGGCUUCUGCGCGUGCACACUUUCAUCCAACGAAAGCGUAUUUUCUCUCUGCUUCAGCUCAAAGGACCCGUCUGUGGAUAUUCUUUUUGCAAAAAAGUCCCUGAUUUUCAUCACUUUAUAACUCCGCAACCGUAACUCCGAUUGAGGCCCCCUCCGAGAGAGAACUGUUUCUGGCAAAUCUUUCUGCGAUCGUUCCGCACUUUUUCCGGAGUAUUUGUCGACCCCAGGCAAGCCAACCAAUUAUCUUGAGCCCCGAACUUGCAUGUUGACUUUGCUUGCACCUCGUGUGUGUGUUUAGUUGCAGUAGUUUCUUGUCUGUUCCGUCUCCUAUUAUUUUAGUCGUGCUAUAUGUUUUGUUAUCUGUCUUGCAUGCUUAUGCGUUCAUGAAAUAGGUUGACAUGCUAGUUUGCUGUUGCUACUAAUAAUAUCAUGCCUCUGCCCAGUUUAGUUUCAUGUUAGUAGUAUCGAUGUUAUGAUAAUUCUAUUGCACUAAUAAGUUUGCUAGUACUUGGUAUUGCCAUGUUUCGCAUGCUAUCACUGUUCUUUUGAAAUGCUUGAUGUUUUGUUACUGCAUCGGUAUGUUGCAUGUUAGUUAUUGCAUUCUUGUUAAUAAUGCUCGCAUGAUGAUUGAUGAUGGAGAAGUUAAUAAUAUUACUUAAUAACAAACCUCCCCCGUCAUCACUGGGAUAUCAUAGUGCCACCCAAGUCGAG